rnacentral:tRNA from 1 species
GAGGCACUGGGCUACUGGCAGGCGCAGCCGCUGCUGCUGGUCGAGCUGCGUCGUGGGGCGAAGGAGACGAUCGAUCCGCCGGUGCGUCA